ensembl:lncRNA
UCUGGGCGGCGGCGCGCGCGGGGAGCGCGCGCGGCUGCUGGGCCGCCGUCCGGGGAGGCGUCGGCGAGCCGCGCCUGCCUGCCCAGAGCCGAGCCCGGCGGAGUCCGGCCACGCUGUGCCGCUCUCUCCCGGGCCGGGCUCGUCCGUUCCCCCGGCGUCCGUGGACCCCGCUCCGUGUCCCCGCUGGGCACAGCAGCCCGGGCCCUCCACGGCCACGGCCGCUAGCCUGAGGAGGCCCUCCUUCAGCUCCCGCUCUUCCUGCUCGCCGGACACGGACGACCAGGGCGCCUGCGAAGAUGAUUCCAUCUGGGAGAGGCACCUGGGGGCGUGGGCCUGGGGGCUGGUGGGAGGCGAGCGUGUGCCUGAGGAAUAGGCUUGUGCGCCCAGAGGUGCCCAUCAGGUCGCGGGACAGCUGUGCGGCGCGGGGAGCGAGGGGGUCUCUUCGUGCGCUUCACGCGUUCAUGGAACGGGCGGUGUGUGCCGGGCACGGGGCCAGCCUGGGGAUGCGGGACCCGGGAGUCGGGCGCUGAAGCGGCACCCGUGGUCUUGGCUUCUUGGAAGGACAGACGCUAAGUAGAUAAGGAUACUGGUCUGGAUGCGUUCUGAGGAGGGCAGGUCUCCCUCUUUUAGAGGCUACGUUCCGUUGGGGUUUUCAUGAAGCCUGUUGUGCCCCUGAAGCUCAGCCCGGUCCAGGGGAAGUGGCCUGUCGAGGGCCACGUAACGUUUGUGUGCAGAGCCAGUGCUUUCCAAAGCCCUUGACUGUGCAGAAUGGGGGCUGUCCGGGGAGCAUUGUGAGCACAGGUGUGUGUCCCACACUUGAAAGUCUGGCAAAGAAAGCGUGAGGCUUGAGGGUGCUCCGUUCGUUCCCUCCUUCCACAGAAAGUCUGGAGAGUUGGCUUUGGGACUUUGGGACUUCCUUUCCUCUGGUCGGUGCGUGUUCAGUGGUCUGGACACUUGGUGGGCAGUCUGACAGGGUGUUUGACGUACUGGACCUAGCAGCCUAGUUGGAAAGGACAGACAGGCAGCAACUAAUUACCUAGGAGAUACGUGAAAGCAAUUUUGUGUUGAGUGGUGAGAAAUACAGCAAUUACUGUUAGACUUUGUGACUUGGGCAGUGAUGUUUAAGCUGAGAGCAGAUGCCUAAAAGAAAAGGAGGACUUGUGCGGGAGAGUGUUGGGACAGGGCAAGGGAGGAGUAUGGCCUGUCAAAGGAGCUGAAAGAAUGCCCUGGAGACUGGGGCCGCGUAGGGACUGUAGGCUGGGGAAAAUAAAACUUUUCGAUUAAGGCUGGCGCUUUCUAUAGGUUUUUGGAGACUAAGCGUGGUGAUUCAGAACGUGGACUCUGGAGCCAGACUCUGUCAAAUGGGUCCUAGCUCUGCCACCUACGGGCUGUGUGAACUUGGGCAAGUUACUGUACCAUUCUGUGUGUCAGUUUCCUGAUCUGUAAAACGGGGAUGAUUAUAAUACACACUCCAUAGGUGAGUGUAAAGGUGAGAGGAUAUUUCAUAUCCGUAAAGUACUUAGAGCAGUGUCUGGCCUUUAGUAGGCAUUAGUAGUGGUUGAUUAAAUAAAUGGAUAAAUGCAUACAUACGUAAGUAUUCAAGGCUUGGAGGCUGUCCCUGGUGAAACGUGUGAACUGGAAUGGAUUACACCCAACUUUGUUUCCUUUCCAGCUUGCAGUUGCUACUGACCGCAUCUGUAGCAUUGUGGAAUUAGAAAUAAUCUCCCUCGACUUGGCUGCUCUUGGUAAAACAAUCUAAUGCUGUCCAAAUUAUCCCAGGGAAAUAAAAGCCUUUUCAGUAGCAUAGAUCACUUGACUUUUACACCCAAAGUCCUGGACAUUAUUUUUGUCUCCAGUUUAUAUGAGGACACUGAGACUUAGAUGGAUGAAAGGACUUUGCCAAGGUCACCCGGUUAGUAAAGUGUAGAAUCAGUAUUAGAACCUGACUUUAUAUCCUCAUCUCUGUGCAUAGUGCCAUAGGUGCUAAACAGGUUAUUUUAAUUAACGUGAUCAGGCACAGAGUACCCUGAACUCUCUUAUAAGUUCUUGCUCCCUUAGAAAAGGAAUCUGCUGCUGUCCUUAAGGAGCCUAUAAGAUCUCUGGGGUAAUAGAAUACAUUGUUUGUAAUAGACAAUUAUGAAAGGGUGAGUCUGCAGGGCUAAAAUGUUGAACAAUGUGUGUGCAUUAAGAGUCUUUUAGUUGCAAGUGGUAGAAACUCAACUCAAAAUGGCUUCAGGAGAAAAGAAUACAUGUAUUGGAACACUUAACUGAUUCAGAUAUGGCUGGAUCAAGGAGUUCAAAUAAUGCCAUUGGGCAUAUGUCUCCUUUUGUUUUAUUCUUGAUUCUUAACCAGUCUCUCCUCAGUAAGGGAAAAGAUGGGCACAGGCAUCUCCAGGGUCUACACCCUACCAGCUUGUCCACCCCAGAAUAAAAAUUGUGUCUAUUUCCCAACAUAGGUUUAACAAACAUCCUGAGGUACGGUAGUUGGCCCAGGUUGGGUGGUAUCUCAUUCUUGGAGCCUGGGGUUGGAGUUGAGCUUCAGAUAAAUCACCUGGACUGAUAAUUUGGAUGUGCUGCCUCCCUCAAAAGAAAAUUGGAGGUUACUUCCAGAAGGAGUGAUUAAUGACAUAGGCAGGCAAUAAAACAAAAAACAUACUUUCACUACAGAUAGAAUAUUUGGAGUUUCAGAUUAACCCGUUUGUCCCGGUGUGAUCCCUGUUGGCUUCCUGGAGGAAGUAGAUUUUCCCUUUGGCCUUGAUAAACAUGGAGGGUAUUGUGGUGAGGAGAGAAACAGGAAAGGUAUUUCAGGCAGGGAGCCCCUUCUUCGCAAAGACUGAGAUGUGGGAAGAUGUGUGCAGGGGCACUGAGGAGAGGGUUUGCCCUCACAGAAAGGUUAGGGCUAGUGUCUCUUGAUUAGGUCCCUGCUGUGUGCCCACAAGUGAUCGAGCUCCUCGAAGGGCUAUGGAUAGUCGAGAGUCAUCGCACAGUCUCUGGAGGCGGAUGCUUGAGUUUCAUCGUCAUUUUCAAGCUGUGUGAUGUUGGGCAAAAUCUUCACGUUCCAGGGCUCAGUCUCCUGUUCUGAAAAAUGGGAAUAAUAGUACCACCUCGCUGUAAGAAUUAAAGCCAGUGGGGGCCGGCCCGGUGGCACGGCGGUUAAGUGCGCACCUUCUGCUUCUCGGUGGCCCGGGCUUCGCCAGUUCGGAUGCCGGGUGCGGACAUGGCACAGCUUGGCAAGCCAUGCUGUGGUAGGCGUCCAAUGUAUAAAGUAGAGGAAGCUGGGCAAAGAUAUUAGCUCAGGGCCAGGCUUCCUCAGCAAAAAAGAGGAGGAUUGGAAGCAGUUAGCUCAGGGCUAAUCUUCCUCAAAAAAAAAAAAAAAAGAAUUAAAGCCAGUGAUGCCCAGAGAGUGCUUAGCAUUGUGUCUGUCACAUUAAUAUUCGAUAAACGUAUUAUUUUUAUUUCCCUCAGUGACAUGAGGUUAGUUUGACUCCCCCCUUUCAGAUGAAGGUAAGCAACACGUGUAAUGUGCUCUGAAUCCAGAGACAUGGCCCUCCUCUUAUCAGAAAGCUCUUUGUUGGGGGGAAAGACAAUUAGAUAGCUAAGGCAGGGCUGAAUCAUGUGGAGUCUUACCUCGUCCUAACAGAGCUGUGCUCCCACCAUUCCAAAUCCAUGUCAAUGUGGGGUUUUGAGUCAGAAACACCUGCCUUUAGGUCCCACUUCUACCCUGUACUGGUUUUGUGACUCAUGAGCUACUCUCACGGUGCACAUUUUAGGAUAAGUGACAUCUUUCGAUAUCACACAGUUAAGAAGAUUCAAAGCCCAGAUUUGAAUGUUGGUCUUCUGAUUCCAGACAGGGGAAAUCACAAUCUAGGAUGUUCAACUCUAGGAAUCUCUAGAAAUUCAAGGGCUAAAAUGACACGGUAGCAUCCUCCUCCAUCCAUAAAAGCCCUUAGGAAUUCAAGUAGCUCUUGGGGAAACCAAGGCCCCUCCUUGUCUCUCCACACCCCUUGGCCUCGUUCAGUCUCUGGGCCAACAGCUGAGCGCCCACCACAUGUGGACACUGUAGGAGGUAGGAGGCCGCCUGUUGUUCAACACAUGACCCAGGACCCUCUGGCCUUCCUGGGGUCAAACGCAGCUUUUCCUGCCCAUGGCAUCCAUCUUAGGGUCGCUCUUGAUUGCAGGAUGUGGUGUCAGAAGUCUACUCAGUCAUUCACACACAUUAACCCACUCAUCUGGAUUAUAUAGCUCUGCCAUUUUGAAAGCUCUCUCAUAUAUGUAUUUUCAUACCAUUCUCCUGGGAACAGCAAUACCUACCAUCUAUUGGAUAUUUACUGUGUGAGUCUGGCUCUCUGCUCAAGUCCUGAUGUAUGUAGACCCACCAGGUUGUUUAAAUGUCACCUUCUCAGUAUGACCUUCUUGACCACUCUAUUUAAAAUUGCCUGCAUCCUCCACUGCCCAUUAGCAUCCCUAGUCUCCUUCUUUCAGUUAAUUUUUCUCAGUAACAGUUACCUCUCCCUAACGUAACAUCCAACGUAAUUAUUCAUUUCCUAGUGUCUGUCUUCUCCCACUGGGAUGUAAGUUCCACACAAGCAGUUGUUUCUGUUUUGAUUACUUCCGUGUGCCCAGAACCAAGCCUGGAAACUGGCAUUAUGGAUGAAUGAAUAAAUGAGCUUAAUAUUCACAAUAUCUCUGGGAGGUCAGUUGUGUUAUUACCCCACUUUACAGACGAUGAGGC